rnacentral:snRNA from 1 species
UUGCUUGGGCAGCACAUAUACUAAAAUUGGAGCCAUACAAAGAAGAUUAGUAUGGCCCCUGCACAAGGAUGACAUACAAAUUUGUGAAACAUUCCAUAUAUAG